rnacentral:rRNA from 1 species
GACAGCGGGUGCAAACGUUGUUCGGAAUUACUGGGCGUAAAGCGCGUGUAGGCGGCUAAGUCAGUCGGGCGUGAAAUCCCACGGCUCAACCGUGGAAGUGCACUCGAAACUGGAUGGCUAGAGUCCUGGAGAGGAAGGUGGAAUGCUUGGUGUAGAGGUGAAAUUCGUAGAUAUCAAGCGGAACACCGGUGGCGAAGGCGGCCUUCUGGACAGUGACUGACGCUGAGACGCGAAAGCGUGGGGAGCAAACAGG